UUAAGUUAAUAAGGGCGCACGGUGGAUGCCUUGGCACUAGAAGCCGAUGAAGGACGUGACUAACGACGAAAUGCUUUGGGGAGCUGUAAGUGAGCAAUGAUCCAGAGAUGUCCGAAUGGGGGAACCCGGCAGGUAAUGCCUGUCACUCAUUACUGUUAAGGUAAUGUAGAGGAAGACGCAGUGAACUGAAACAUCUAAGUAGCUGCAGGAAGAGAAAGCAAAAGCGAUUGCCUUAGUAGCGGCGAGCGAAACGGCAAGAGGGCAAACCGAAGAGUUUACUCUUCGGGGUUGUAGGACUGCAACGUGGACUUAAAGAUUAUAGAAGAACUACCUGGGAAGGUAGGCCAAAGAGAGUAAUAGCCUCGUAUUCGAAAUAGUCUUUAUACCUAGCAGUAUCCUGAGUACGGCGAGACACGAGAAAUCUCGUCGGAAUCUGGGAGGACCAUCUCCCAACCCUAAAUACUCUCUAGUGACCGAUAGUGAACCAGUACCGUGAGGGAAAGGUGAAAAGCACCCCGGGAGGGGAGUGAAAUAGAACCUGAAACCGUGUGCCUACAACAAGUUCGAGCCCGUUAAUGGGUGAGAGCGUGCCUUUUGUAGAAUGAACCGGCGAGUUACGAUAUGAUGCGAGGUUAAGUUGAAGAGACGGAGCCGUAGGGAAACCGAGUCUUAAUAGGGCGCAUUAGUAUCAUGUCGUAGACCCGAAACCAUGUGACCUACCCAUGAGCAGGUUGAAGGUGAGGUAAAACUCACUGGAGGACCGAACCAGGGCACGUUGAAAAGUGCUUGGAUGACUUGUGGGUAGCGGAGAAAUUCCAAACGAACUUGGAGAUAGCUGGUUCUCUCCGAAAUAGCUUUAGGGCUAGCGUCGAUGUUAAGUCUCUUGGAGGUAGAGCACUGUUUGGGUGAGGGGUCCAUCCCGGAUUACCAAUCUCAGAUAAACUCCGAAUGCCAACGAGAUAUAAUCGGCAGUCAGACUGCGAGUGCUAAGAUCCGUAGUCGAAAGGGAAACAGCCCAGACCACCAGCUAAGGUCCCAAAAUAUAUGUUAAGUGGAAAAGGAUGUGGGGUUGCACAGACAACUAGGAUGUUAGCUUGGAAGCAGCUAUUCAUUCAAAGAGUGCGUAAUAGCUCACUAGUCGAGUGACCCUGCGCCGAAAAUGUACCGGGGCUAAAACAUAUUACCGAAGCUGUGGAUACCUUUAUAGGUAUGGUAGGAGAGCGUUCUAUGUGCGAAGAAGGUGUACCGUGAGGAGUGCUGGAGCGCAUAGAAGUGAGAAUGCCGGUAUGAGUAGCGAAAGACAGGUGAGAAUCCUGUCCACCGUAAGACUAAGGUUUCCAGGGGAAGGCUCGUCCGCCCUGGGUUAGUCGGGACCUAAGGAGAGACCGAAAGGUGUAUCCGAUGGACAACAGGUUGAUAUUCCUGUACUAGAGUAUAUAGUGAUGGAGGGACGCAGUAGGCUAACUAAACCAGACGAUUGGAAGUGUCUGGCCAAGCAGUGAGGUGUGAUAUGAGUCAAAUGCUUAUAUCUAUAACAUUGAGCUGUGAUGGGGAGCGAAGUUUAGUAGCGAAGUUAGUGAUGUCACACUGCCGAGAAAAGCUUCUAGCGUUAAUUAUACUCUACCCGUACCGCAAACCGACACAGGUAGUCGAGGCGAGUAGCCUCAGGUGAGCGAGAGAACUCUCGUUAAGGAACUCGGCAAAAUGGCCCCGUAACUUCGGGAGAAGGGGCGCUGACUUAUGGUCAGCCGCAGUGAAUAGGCCCAAGCAACUGUUUAUCAAAAACACAGCUCUCUGCUAAAUCGUAAGAUGAUGUAUAGGGGGUGACGCCUGCCCGGUGCUGGAAGGUUAAGAGGAGUGCUUAGCAAUAGCGAAGGUAUGAAUUGAAGCCCCAGUAAACGGCGGCCGUAACUAUAACGGUCCUAAGGUAGCGAAAUUCCUUGUCGGGUAAGUUCC
rnacentral:rRNA from 1 species